rnacentral:rRNA from 1 species
UGUGGGGUUGUAGGACUGCAAUAUUCAAAUGACUGUGAACUGGAAUGUUCUGGAAAGUUCAUCCAUAGAGAGUGAAAGACUCGUACAGGCAAGCACGUCAGGCGAUAGCAGUAUCCUGAGUAGGGCGGGACACGAGGAAUCCUGUCUGAAUCCGCCGGGACCACCCGGUAAGGCUAAAUACUCCCAAGAGACCGAUAGUGAACCAGUACCGUGAGGGAAAGGUGAAAAGAACCCCGAACAGGGGAGUGAAAUAGAACCUGAAACCAUACGCUUACAACCUGUCGGAGCGGCUUCGUGCCGUGACGGCGUGCCUAUUGAAUAAUGAGCCUACGAGUUACUAAUCACUGGCAAGGUUAAGUGCACGGAUGCACGGAGCCGAAGCGAAAGCGAGUCUGAAUAGGGCGUUUAGUCAGUGGUUGUAGACGCGAAACCUUGCGAUCUACCCUUGAGCAGGUUGAAGGUUGGGUAAAACCAACUGGAGGACCGAACGAAUAAGCGUUGAAAAGCUUCUCGAUGACUUGAGGGUAGGGGUGAAAGGCUAAUCAAGCUGGGAAAUAGCUCGUACUCCCCGAAAUGCCUUUAGGGGCAGCGUUGUAAUUAAGAGUCUACUGGAGGUAGAGCUACUGAUUGGAUGCGGGGGCUUCACCGCCUACCAAAUCCUGACAAACUCCGAAUGCCAGUAGUAUGAUUUACAGCAGUGAGCGACCGGGUGCUAAUGUCCGGUUACGAGAGUGGAACAACACAGACCAGCAACUAAGGUCCCCAAGAGUAUACUAAGUUGAUCUAACGAUGUUUUGCUGCAGAGACAGCUAGGAUGUUAGCUUGGAAGCAGCUAUUCAUUCAAAGAGUGCGUAACAGCUCACUAGUCGAGCGGCAAAGCGUGGAUAAUAAACGGGCAUCAAGUAUACCACCGAAGUUCUGGGCACGAAAGUGCGGUAGGGGAGCAUUCCAUUCCGCGUUGAAGCCGAACCGUGAGGUUUGGUGGAGUGUAUGGAAAAGCAAAUGUAGGCAUGAGUAACGAUAAUGCGGGAGAGUAACCCGCACACCGCA